AAAAUGUGGUGGACCUCACCCUCAGACCAGGUGAGCCUUCAGAUUCUGCACCUCGCUGGCCGUGCAUAAAGAAGGCUGGGACAUCCCUGAAUUCACAGUCAGGGUGGUCGUCUGUGUGCAGAACUGAAAGCAAACAAGAGUAAGCUAUAGCCAGAUGUGGGGGCUUUCAGGUUCACUGACGGUUCCUGGGGUACUUGGAGUCAAAGCAGCUCACGCACGUUCCUGCUUUCCACCAGGAAACGUGGAGCCACGGAGGCCAAGGAAAUCUGAUCAGCUCCAGAUCCCCAAGUUGGUCUUUUUACACCCCUAAAGACACCAUGCUUGCUCCUUCUCCAAGACUCAUAAGGAAAUACAAAUGACUUUGAAAUAUCAGCCACUGUUAACUGGAUCAGAUUCCUCCAGUAAAUAUGAGAGAAGAGUCAUGACUUUUGCUCAGUCAUUAAAAUAAGAGACACAAGGAUUGGUAUGGGGUAUCCCUAGCAGAAUUUAUUCAAGGAAGCCUAAUCAAUAUCCCCCAUCUCACUAUUUCUUCAGACACGUGCUAAGUUUACAUAUUCGAAUCAAAUUAACAUAUCAGAGUCACAAAUUGGCAAUGGUGUCAAAAUACCUAUCCUCACCAUUCUAAAUCAUUUUUCACAUUAAAUAUGUCAAGGGCUAUGUUUGCGUGCAUAAGUCAAAAGAAGAGAAAUAAAGCAAUACAUUAAGAAGUUGGUGACAUAAGCUUAUUUAUUUAGUUAUUUAUUUUUGCCUAUUACUGGUAGAGAAAAAUGUAUUUAGUUUGCUCUAUUACAGGUAGAGAAAAAUUAUAUUUUGUUGUUCUGAGUGAAACCAGUGAUAAUCAUUUUACCUCUUCUUUUAAGUAGUAUAGAAGUCUAACAUUUUCAUUGCUUAUUGCCAGAACUUAAGUGCUAAGAUUUUUUCUAUAUUGUCUGAUUUGAUUCAUACAUAUAAUGUUGAGAUUCAAGAAUUAUUAUCCCAUUUACCAGAUGAGGAAGUGGAGGUACAGAAGUUUUAGAAAAGGGAAUUAGCCUCCGCUUCUAUUCUAUUAAGCCACUAUAUUUCAGAAGGCAUAGAGUAUCUAUUUUGCAUUUGGGUUGGGGGAGAUGGAGAUUUGCCCUAACUUUGAUUCUUUUAGGUCAAGAAUAAUUUCUUUCAGAACCCGGAUGGUUUUCUUAUUUCCAUAAAAUGGGUUGCCACAUUAGGCCUCAGAGUCCACCAAAUGAACGGUUCUUCUCUUCUGCUGUCCCUCAAAUUUGUGAUAUGUAAAAUAUGUGUGAAGAUGCAGAUAACAUGUGGGAUCUCAUUGGCUCUACCAUUCCUUAGAGAAAAUGUAAUUGUUAUUGAUUCUAACUGAUCAUUCAAAAAUUAAGUUCCUCCAAAUUUACUCUUUUUCUAAUUGAAGGUUCCAGCUGCCAUGGGAUUGAGAUUUCCUAUUUUUUUUUUUCUUGUCCCGAAACUCUCUGUCAAAGAUUUUAUUUCUCUAGGCAACCAGCUGGUUUUUCACAUAGAUAAGGUCAAUUAAUUUGACCUUUGGUUCAAUAUGAAAUGCAUAAUAAAAGCUGGUGCCCCAAGGACCGGAUGUGGCCUUUCAAAAAAGUAACUUGCCAGGACAGGGAACAAUAAUUUAUUACCUCAUAAACCCCAGUUGAAAUGCCUGUUGCCCAGCAUAGCAAUGACAAGGAGCUUGUGUGUCUUUAUUUAUUUAUUUUUAUUCUAUGCAAUAGAGAGAGGGGAGGAAAAUAAAAAAAUAAAUAAAUAAAACAAGCACCUGCCCCAUUCAGGGAGGAAAAAUGGCAAAGGCAAAAAAGAUCUACUCGUACUGCUUGAAUUUUUGUUUUAUAGCAAGUUUUCAUCCACUACACAAAAAUUCUUAGAGACAGGCUCGGGAAAGUUUAUUAUCAACUAUAAAAUUUUGUUAAAUUGUAUUUCAUCGCUUGAAUUUUGAGAGAUACAGGAAAUCUUUGUGAAGCGAUUUGAAAUAGAGAACCAAAAUUGCUAUGUAUAGUCAACAUCCAAAAUGACUACUAAUCAGGAUAAAUUUAUCUAUGGAUCUGUUUGGUGGAUAUAUUUAUAUAUCUAAUUUUAACAAAUUCAUGAGGCUGUGAACUCUUAUAUUUCAGUUUUUACUUAAUUCUGUAUCGCUAUCAUUCUGUAUGCCAUUAGCAUCCUUCAUAUGUGGUAUUUAUUCCUUUGCAUAAAUGUGUUAUAACUGGCGUUUGUGUCUAGUUUUAUCUGAUAUUUUAAACAACCCUGAAUGAAACUCCUUUACAUAAGUCAUUGAUCACAUCCUUGAUUAUGUCUUAGAAAUGGGCGAUCUCAACAAAACAUACAAAUAUCUUAAAGCUAUUGAAAACUAUUCUCUCAGUAUAAUUCACCAUUUCUAGCCACCAUGUAGUUUUUAAUCCAUUCCUUCAGCUGUUCCUUUGAAAUAGUACUUUUAGUAUACGUGGAAUUAUGGAUAAAACAGACUGUAGAAAAUAUUUAAACCUCAAAAUGUAGACACGUGCCUAAAACGAAUCUUAGCUCUGUGAAUGCCCUUCAUUGGGGAAUUUUUACAGAUAAUGAGAUGCAAGUUUUGGAACUCCAGUGGGAGUUUUGAAUAAGGGGCAAUUUCUGAGUAAUGGUGUAAUGGAGUCAUAGUAAUGGUGCAAUAGAGUAAUGGUGUAAUACCCCACAGUGUGGGGUACAAGAGAAGCUUUGAGAAUCUAGAAUGCACCAGGUCCUUUUAGGUAGGAGACAAAAAAUGCAGCCAAAGUGGGGAAGGGGUGGAAAGGAAAAUAAAAUAGUCCUGGAAACAAACAAACCUAUUACAAAAUUUUUACACAGCUACUUGUGUGACCUUCUGGUGAGAAUGCAACUUAGAAUCACUUUCCUAGAGAGCUACUUGGGAAUAUCUAUCUAAAGGCUUAAAUAACAGAUACUCUGUCUAAGCAAAUACAAUUUGAAGUCUUCAUACCCAGAAAAUCAUCAUCGAUAUCCCAAACAACUAUUGUAACAGAAUUUAACUUUUACAAAUAAAAAAUUAAAUAAAAUUUGUUUCAUCUUUCCAAAAUUUUUUAUAUGCAAAUAGUGAGAAAGAGAGAGGGAGGGGCAAACAAUUUAUACCAGGUAUUUUGUUUGCAACUGGCUUCUUUUUAUUCAUUUACCAAUAUAUUAAUGGUGGUUAUUGCUGGUUUCUAAUUUUAUGGUGAUACUAAAUUUUCUUAUUUUUUCAAACUUCAAAACACAAAGACAAAAAGCCAUCAACAAAUGCUAUUUUGCUAUAUCUAUAGAUGAUUCAGUACUGCAUAUCAAAAUGGGAAAAAUUUCUUUUCCCAUAUUCUUUCAUUCAGUGGUUCCCCAUACUCACUUGUAACCGCAAACUGGAUGUACGGUUAAUGCCAUUUGUGCUCUAUUUCAAAGACAUUAUUAGUUAAAUAGCCUUCUUUUUAAGUAUCUUAAGAACCUAGCCACAAUUUAUAUUAUUGUUUUCAUGGGAAAAACAUGUUCCAAGUUUCAAACAGCUAGUGUAAAAACAAAUCCAAAACAGUUUGCAUGUAUGUUGAAGACCGUCUAUUCAGUUUUUU
rnacentral:lncRNA from 10 species